UAGGAAGGCCCACUACCUUAACUGAGACAAUAGGCAAAGCAGAAACAUGGCUCAUUAGAUUCUACUGGGAUUUGGAGUUUCCUCGCCCAACCUUACCAAAUGUUGACUAUGUUGGAGGACUCCACUGCAAACUUGCUAAACCCUUGCAGAAGGAAAUGGAAGACUUUGUCCAGAUCUCUGAAGAGUACAGUGUCGUGGUGUUUUCUCUGGGAUCAAUGGUCAGCAACAUGUCAGAAGACAAAGUCAAUACAAUCGCAGGGGCCCUUGCCCAGAUUCCAUAAAAGGUUCUAUGGAGAUUUGAGGGCAAAACACCAGACACCUUACGACCCAAUACUAGAGUUUACAAAUGUCUCCCCCAGAAUGACCUUCUAGGUCAUCCAAAAACCAAAGCCUUUGUAACUCAUGGUGGAGUCAAUGGGAUCUAUGAGGCAAUCCAUUUUGGAAUCUCUAUGAUUGGCAUUCAUUUGUUCACAGAGCAGUAUGAUAACAUUGCCUACAUAGUAGCCAACGGAGCAGCUGUUUCUUUAGAUUUUAGAACAAUGACAAGAACAGAUUUGCUCAGUGCACUGAAGACCAUCAAAGAUAAU